GUCUGAUGUUUGUAUUUUUAGUAGAGACAGGGUUUCACCAUGUUGGUCAGGCUGCUCUCGAACUCCAGAUCUCGUGAUCCGCCCGCCUGGGCCUACUAAAGUGCUGGGAUUACAGGCGUGAGCUAGAUCUGACUUUCUAGUGUCCUAGCCUUGGCCCGAUGGACAUGUCAUUUCUCUCAGCUCGUUUCUGUCCCCUAAAGUGAGAAUAUUGCCUGGGAAGAUUACAUUAGACGAUGUAUAUGCGAAGACACUUGAUAGCUGGUAUUGUCAUGAUUCUGAUUAGUUCACUACUGCUACUUUCCCUGUGGCCUAGGCUUUGCCUAUUUCCAGUGGGCGAGCUAGCUAGAUCCUCCUCCCUUAAAUAAGCCAGUGUUUUUAAGACAGAAUACUACUUGCAUAGUGGACAAUAAUAUCUUAAAGAACUGAGCAGGAUGAAAAGAAUUUGAUAGAAAGCAGGUUUGAGGAGCACAUUGGAGGUUGGCAGGUUUCGAGGCUGCUUGAGAGGACUUGGGCCGAUCUGGGCUGGGCUUGGACGUGACCCUGGCACCCAGGCAGGUGGAUCCCAGCUGGGGCUUCCAUUCACGACUUUCUGGUCCCUGGCAGGACAGAGCGGGAUGCCACCAGCUUGUCCAAAGGGAAGUUCCAGGAGCUCCUGGUGGGCAUCGUUGUGGAGAAUGACGCUGGCCGCGGCGAGAUCAACGAGUUGAAGCAGGUGGAAGGGGAGGCUUCGUGCAGCAGCCGCAAAGGAAAGCUGAUUUUCUUCUAUGAGUGGAACAUCAAACUGGGCUGGAAAGGCAUCGUUAAAGAAUCUGGAGUGAAGCACAAGGGAUUGAUUGAAAUACCCAAUCUUUCUGAGGAAAAUGAAGUAGAUGACACUGAGGUCAACGUUGAGUAAAAAGAAAGGAGAUGGGGUUAUACUGAAGGAUCUUAUGAAAACUGCAGGCACUGCCAAGGUCAGGGAGGCCCUUGGAGAUUACCUGAAGGCACUUAAGACGGAAUUUACAACGGGAAUGAUUUUACCAACGAAAGCUAUGGCAACCCAGGAAUUGACUGUCAAAAGAAAACUGAGUGGGAAUACCCUGCAGGUUCAGGCCUCAUCUCCAGUGGCACUGGGUGUAAGGAUUCCCACUGUGGCUCUUCACAUGAUGGAACUGUUUGACACAACUGUAGAGCAGCUGUAUAGCAUCUUCACUGUAAAGGAGUUGGUGCAAAAGUUUUCUAAAUCUACUGCUGUAUUAGAAACUGAAAAGGGAGGGAAAUUCCAGAUGUUUGAUGGGAACAUCACUGGUGAAUAUCUAGGAUUGUUAACAAAUAAGAAGAUCAUCAUGAAAUGGAGAUGUGGGAACUGGCCAGAAGAACACUAUGCCAUGGUUGCACUGAAUUUUGUGCCUACUCUAGGGCAAACAGAAUUACAAUUGAAGGAGUUCCUAUCUAUCUGUAAAGAAGAGAACAUGAAAUUCUGUUGGCAGAAGCAGCAUUUUGAAGAAAUAAAAGGUUCACUGCAGCUGA
ensembl:lncRNA AHSA2P activator of HSP90 ATPase homolog 2, pseudogene